CACCUUAUUUUUCACGACAACAAGGGCGGCGCCAUUUCGCUCAUUUUGUCAACGUUCUUCCGGCCGCAUAGACGAUGAGCAGCUGAGGCAGUGACUGAAGGCGACGUGUUAAGCUUAAAAAGCUCACUCGAGCGCCUUUUGUUUCUUUCUUACCAAUUUUAAGCCAACUGAGGAACACCCUUAUCCCAAUUAAUGGUUCGACUACGAUGUUCCGGUAACUUUAAACCACGCCGGGUGUUGAAAAGGUGGCCAGUUUCAGAUGCAUUGAUGUUUAGUGAUGCAGUGGACAACUGUGAGGAUGAUACAAUCAACAUGUUCCUAAACUGUGAUGCAGAAACACAGUGGCCCUCAUUUAUCAAACGUGCGUACACCAAAUUUCCAGCGUACACCUGGCGUACACCCAAAACCACGGUGACUUUGAGAUUUAUCAAUAUGGACGUUGAAGUACGGCACGCUCAAAUCCUACGCCAGCUCAGGAGGUGGUGUACGCACAUUUUGAGUUAGUGCAGAAAUGCGCAAACAAUUCCUAACAACACAAAACGCACUGACAAACUAAAAUAUAUGAUAUAUUAUGACCCACUGUAAAAAACUAAAACUAUAUUAUGCAACAUGUACUUCAAUGUUUAAUUUGUGAGACUUUACCAAAGCAUUUGAUUUGUAGGCAUAUGUAUUCCUUCAGUUGAGAGCCUGGGCGCUUUACCUGACGUUUCAGGGCAAAGCAUGUGAGCGGAGCGGAGCCUUGAGCGGUGCGGUAAUAUUACCAUCAAAGCGCCUCUCUAAAGAUCCGCUCGCUCAGCACCGAGCGGCACAUUGCAAGAAAGCACAAGGAUGUGCUACGAAAACAUGGUAAUAAUGCAUCAAAAGGUAAGCUAGUUACAUACUAUUCGAUGAUAAAUAAAUAGCUACACAUGAAUAGGUAAGGUAAAAUGCUUGUGUUGAAUGGAGCCAUAAAUCCGAUCAUGAUGACAUGCGGACAAAAUCAUGGCCACGAAUUAUCUUUUAUGCUACAUUAUGGACACUUCUUUUUCUUAUUUAGUUUAAAGUAAAUAUUCAACAGUUUGUUCCUUGGAAUUAAUUAUUAUAAUAUUUCGUAAUUACUAUUACAAUUAUUAUUACUUCAAAUUAUGAAUAAGCCUAGUAAAACAUGUGGAUGUCGUGGAAACAAAUUGUUAAUUUGAAUUAUAUCCGGAGCUCCGUAUCAAACUGGAUCUUAGCUAACAAACAACUGUAUGUAAACACAGAAAAACACACUACAAAAGUUACUACAUCAUUUUUAAAAUAUUAUUAAAAAAAAACUUAACCGAACCAUUAAGCAGACAUAUAAUUUAGAUGUAGGCAACAUUACAUAAUAAUAAUAAUAAUAAUAAUAAUAAUAAUAAUAAAUAAUUAUUCUUCUAAAUAUCAAUAAAGCGUCUUUAAUAAUAAAAAUAAUAAUACAAAUAUUACAAAACGUCAUGCAAUUAUUAAUGUUUCUUUAGUCCCUCUAUUUAAACUCCCAAAUAAAACAAUUUUGUUUCUUUCCACUUCCCUGGUUUCUCCUCUUUGCCGUCUUCCAUGUGUCAAUGUCGUAAAAUGAGGGCGUGGGAGAGGUGGAGACUUGAAUUUAUAUGGGCGUGUUAUUCUAAUGACGAUCGUUUUCAGCCGCCGCAUUUAUGAAGGGCAGAUAUUGCUUACACCUGAAUUUCAGAGGUACGCACAGUUUCAUAAAUCAGGCGGUGAGACGAGUGUAAGCGUAAUCUUACGCCAACAUAUACGCCCGUUUCUACGCAAGAAUGAUAAAUGAGGGCCAAUGGGAGCAUCUAUCCGUCUCUGAACACAACUACACUUUAAAAUCACAACUCAACCUGAAGCAACCUACAUCUGAUAUGGGAAAACACUGGUGCGGUUUCCCGGACAGGGCUUAUCCUGGUCCCAGGCUAAAAUGCAUAUUUGAGCUACAAUAAUUUAAAAACACCUUUUACUGACAUACCUCAACAUAUAUGAGUGCCAUUGUUUUGUCACAAGAUGCGCACCAGUCUUGUUUUUUUUGUAGGGUUUGUUUGUAAAAACUAAAAUGUCCUAAUAUAAUUAAGGCCUAGUCCUGUAAACCCUGUCCGAGAAACUGCUUCAAUGUGUUGAGCUGGCACAAAUGUACAUAUCUCUACUGAGAAACAACCAUCUUUGUCAGCUUUAAACAGGGUUGAUAUUGCAUCCAUUACACAGUCGCCAAGCACUUUACCAGUACAUACACCAACAGCUUCCAGAUAUACGCUUGGGAUCAGCUCCUGAUGACUCCGAUAAAGCUGUGUCUUAAUUUAUUGCAGGGUGGUCUUGCUUUACCUGUUGUAAAGUUACAUUAAACCUUCAUAUGUGAUCAGAUGUCAUGCAGUGAUAUUAAACAUUUACAGUGUGAUCAGAUGUUGUGCAUUUUAAUUAAACCUUUACAAUGUGAUCAGAUGUUGUGCAAUUAUAUUAAACCUUUACAAUGUGA